GCUGUCGUAGGCGAUGGCCAGCGCGUUGCGCAGCUCCGGAUCCUGGCGGCUCCGCGGUUCCACUCCGUGCAGCAGCGCCA
rnacentral:tRNA from 1 species